rnacentral:snRNA from 1 species
AUCGCUUCUCGGCCUUUUGGCUAAGAUCAAGUGUAGUAUCUGUUCUUAUCAGUUUAAUAUCUGAUACGUCCUCUAUCCGAGGACAAUAUAUUAAAUGGAUUUUUGGAGCAAUAAAUAAAAAAAAAAAAAGAUUUUAUUCAUUUAGAGAGAGAAAUCAUGAGCAGAGGGGAAGGGUAGAGAUAGAGGGAGAAGCAGACUCCCCACUG